UACAGGGCUAAAAAAUGGAAUAAACUCAUCUAAAAAAAGGAAAAAAAAAUAUGUUGAAGUGAAUUUUGAACCAAUGUUAAUCCUUUCGACCCCUUUGGCAUCAGUUUUUCUCAAGUAAAAGAAUUCAAACAUGGAGAGGAAUUGGAUAUAAUUUUUAUCCACAGAUGAAAUGACAAAAAACAACAUCUGCUAAUUCUUGAAAUAAGUGUCCAAUCAUGAAGGAUGGGUGUUUGUUGCGGAGCUGCUCCUGGAGGAGAUCUUGUAUUGCUGAGUCGCAGUUCAAUGCAGUUGGUGCAGUAGAGGAAAGAUUUGUCCAUUGAAAGAGAAGAUAUGCUGACAUCGUAUUUUUUACACAUCGCAGAAAUUUACCCCUAUAGGUACAUAAGAAGAAAGUCCUUUUAUAAAAAGGAUAUGCUGUCGUCGUAUCUCUGACACUACGCAGAAAUCCUCUCAUAUAGCUUCAUUCUAAUUUUCCAAAUAUCUGACGAGACUAGGAAGGAUGUGGAAGAAGAAAAGUGGCCCCUGCAACAUCUUUUUUUUAUAAAAUUUUUUUUAUUUUUUCUUAUUUUUUUUAUAAGAUUUUUUUUUUUGAGCUCCCGGCCUCGCGCAGAAGUGCGAGCAAGAAAGAGGGAUCCUCGGGAGCUGGCCCAGAAGCGCUCGAGAGUGGCAAUGACGUUAUUGUCCCGACGUGGGAUGAUUCGCCGAUCGGUGUGUUCAACAUAUUUGGAAAAUUAGUAAAUAAUGGAAAAUCAUGGAAAAAAGGAGUUUUUGUGGGAUAAUUGAACGUUCUUUAAAAAUAUUCAAGUUUUUGAUGUGGUGAAAAUGUGAAAAGUAUGGAAUUGAGUUUCAAAAGCCAUACACAUCAUCAUUGGAAUAUUUUACGCAACUCCUCAAUACAGCAGCAAUUUUGGAUUUCAAAAUGAUGUGACAUAACAUCCAACAAUCGAAUGAAACCGCAGAGCUAUAC